AGAGUUUGAUCAUGGCUCAGGAUGAACGCUGGCGGCGUGCCUAACACAUGCAAGUCGAACGGGGUUAAGGGAAAUUUUCGGAUGGAACUUAACUUAGUGGCGGACGGGUGAGUAACGCGUGGAUAACCUGCCUCACACUGGGGGAUAGCAGCUGGAAACGGCUGGUAAUACCGCAUAAGACCCCGGCACCGCAUGGUGCCGAGGUAAAAGAUUUAUCGGUGUGAGAUGGAUCCGCGUCUGAUUAGCCAGUUGGCGGGGUAACGGCCCACCAAAGCGACGAUCAGUAGCCGGCCUGAGAGGGUGAACGGCCACAUUGGGACUGAGACACGGCCCAAACUCCUACGGGAGGCAGCAGUGGGGAAUAUUGCACAAUGGGCGCAAGCCUGAUGCAGCAACGCCGCGUGAGUGAAGAAGUAUUUCGGUAUGUAAAGCUCUAUCAGCAGGGAAGAAAGGCCCGAAAGGGAGAUGACGGUACCUGACUAAGAAGCCCCGGCUAACUACGUGCCAGCAGCCGCGGUAAUACGUAGGGGGCAAGCGUUAUCCGGAUUUACUGGGUGUAAAGGGAGCGCAGACGGCAGUGCAAGUCUGAUGUGAAAGCCCGGGGCUCAACCCCGGAACUGCAUUGGAAACUGUACAGCUUGAGUGUCGGAGAGGUAAGCGGAAUUCCUAGUGUAGCGGUGAAAUGCGUAGAUAUUAGGAGGAACACCGGUGGCGAAGGCGGCUUACUGGACGAUAACUGACGUUGAGGCUCGAAAGCGUGGGGAGCAAACAGGAUUAGAUACCCUGGUAGUCCACGCUGUAAACGAUGAAUACUAGGUGUGGGUGUGCACUGCACAUCCGUGCCGCAGCUAACGCAAUAAGUAUUCCACCUGGGGAGUACGUUCGCAAGAAUGAAACUCAAAUGAAUUGACGG
rnacentral:rRNA from 1 species